AUUGAACGCUGGCGGAAUGCUUUACACAUGCGAGUCGAACGGCAGCACGGACUUCGGUCUGGUGGCGAGUGGCGAACGGGUGAGUAAUACAUCGGAACGUGCCCAGUCGUGGGGGAUAACGUAGCGAAAGCUACGCUAAUACCGCAUACGAUCUAAGGAUGAAAGCGGGGGAUCGCAAGACCUCGCGCGAUUGGAGCGGCCGAUGGCAGAUUAGGUAGUUGGUAGGGUAAAGGCCUACCAAGCCGACGAUCUGUAGCUGGUCUGAGAGGAUGAUCGGCCACACUGGGACUGAGACACGGCCCAGACUCCUACGGGAGGCAGCAGUGGGGAAUUUUGGACAAUGGGCGCAAGCCUGAUCCAGCCAUUCCGCGUGCAGGAUGAAGGCCUUCGGGUUGUAAACUGCUUUUGCACAGAACGAAAAGGCUCUGGUUAAUACCCGGGGCUCCUGACGGUACUGUAAGAAUAAGCACCGGCUAACUACGUGCCAGCCGCCGCAGUAA
rnacentral:rRNA from 1 species